AGAAACUUAGGAUCUAACCCAUACUUAAACCGGGGGCCUUCAAAGCCCCAAACAAGAGAUAAAACCUCUUAGUUUCUG
rnacentral:tRNA from 1 species